rnacentral:rRNA from 1 species
CCUACGGGCGGCAGCAGUGGGGAAUAUUGCACAAUGGGGGAAACCCUGAUGCAGCAACGCCGCGUGAGUGAAGAAGUCUUUCGGUAUGUAAAGCUCUAUCAGCAGGGAAGAGAAUGACGGUACCUGACUAAGAAUCCCCGGCUAACUACGUUCCAGCAGCCGCGGUAAUACGUAGGGGGCGGGCGUUAUCCGGAUUUACUGGGUGUAAAGGGUGCGUAGACGGCCAGGCAAGCCAGGGGUGAAAGCCCGGGGCCCAACCCCGGGAUUGCCCUUGGAACUGCAUGGCUGGAGUGCGGGAGGGGCAGGCGGAAUUCCUGGUGUAGCGGUGAAAUGCGUAGAUAUCAGGAGGAACACCGGCGGCGAAGGCGGCCUGCUGGACCGCGACUGACGUUGAGGCUCGAAAGCGUGGGGAGCGAACAGGAUUAGAUACCCUUGUAGUC